GACAGAGGGUGCAAACGUUGUUCGGAAUUACUGGGCGUAAAGCGUGUGUAGGCGGUCCUCUAAGUCGGGUGUGAAAGCCCUGGGCUCAACCCAGGAAGUGCACUCGAAACUGGAGGGCUAGAGUAUCGGAGAGGUUGGUGGAAUUCUCGGUGUAGAGGUGAAAUUCGUAGAUAUUAGGAAGAACACCGGUGGCGAAGGCGGCCCACUGGUCCGGUACUGACGCUGAGGUGCGAAAGCGUGGGGAGCAAACAGG
rnacentral:rRNA from 1 species